rnacentral:snRNA from 1 species
GAUCAAAGUGUAGUAUCUGUUCUUAUCAGCUUAAUAUCUGAUACGCACCCCACGUGGGUGCUUCGAUAUUAAACUGAUUUUUGGAACUGGGAGGAGACACAGGGGCUUGCUCCGGCUCCUCCGCGGGUUGGCC